rnacentral:rRNA from 1 species
UACAGAGGUCUCAAGCGUUGUUCGGAUUCAUUGGGCGUAAAGGGUGCGUAGGUGGCGCCGUAAGUCGGGUGUGAAAUUUCGGAGCUUAACUCCGAAACUGCAUUCGAUACUGCCGUGCUUGAGGACUGGAGAGGAGACUGGAAUUUACGGUGUAGCGGUGAAAUGCGUAGAUAUCGUAAGGAAGACCAGUGGCGAAGGCGGGUCUCUGGACAGUUCCUGACGCUGAGGCACGAAGGUCAGGGGAGCAAACAGG